AUCUAGAAAUAAUCAUUAUCUUAAGUCAUUUAAAGCUACAACCAAUUACACCAAAUUGCCCACCUUUAGAACAAUCAAACAAACAAAAGAUACUCUACCUUUGUUGUUUUUUGUUAGGAGAAUUGGCGAUCUAGGACAAACUGGGUACUAGGUUAUGGUUCCCAACUGCGCGCUAACCUAAACCCCACAAAUGGUGUUGGUCGAUUAAGACAGGAGGACAAUGGUCAUGAAAGUCGAAAUUCGCUAAGGAGUAUGUAAAAAGUCACCCGUUGAAUCAACUAGCCCCGAAAAUGGAUGGUGCUAAAGUGUGCAAUCUAUACCCGACUGUUUGGGCAAGGGCUAAGCCCUGAUGAGUAGGAAGGUGCGUCGGUCACUGCAAAACUUGGGGCGUAAGCUUGGGAAAAGCGAUUGUCAGUGCAGAUCUUGGUGGUAGUAGAAAAUAUUUAAAUGAAAACUUUGAGGGGAAAGGUUCCUUGUGAACGAAACUUGCGCAAAGGUAAGUCGAUCCUAAGGGACGAGAGAAGUUCGUCUAAUAGCGCUCUAAGCGCGUACGCCGAAAGGGAAUCAGGCUAAAACUCCUUAAUUGGGACAUGGUGGCUAACAGAAAUGUUAGGGAGUUUGGAGACGUUGGCAGAGGCCUUGGAAAGAGUUACCUUUUCUAUUUAACAGCUUGCCCACCCUAGAAACGACUCAUCCAGAGGUAGGGCCCAACAGUUGGAAGAUCAUCGCACGUCACAUGGUAUCCGAUAUGCCCAUGGCAACCCUUGAUAAUCCGAAGGACCGAGUGUCUUUCAUGCCCAAUCAAACUCAUUACUCCAUCAAAGCUCCAAGGUGAACAACCUCAGGUC
rnacentral:ncRNA from 1 species